GGGAGGACCACCUCCCAAGGCUAAAUACUACCUGGUGACCGAUAGUGAAGAAGUACCGUGAGGGAAAGGUGAAAAGAACCCCGGGAGGGGAGUGAAAUAGAACCUGAAACCGUGUGCCUACAAUCGGUCGGAGCACUUUAUAUGUGUGACGGCGUACUUUUUGUAGAACGGGCCAACGAGUUACGAUAUGUAGCGAGGUUAAGCACUGAAGGUGUGGAGCCGAAGGGAAACCAAGUCUGAAUAGGGCGAAUUAGUUGCAUGUCGUAGACCCGAAACCGAGUGAUCUAUCCAUGGCCAGGAUGAAGCGAAAGUAAAAUUUCGUGGAGGUCCGAACCACGUUGGUGUUGAAAAACCAUGGGAUGAGCUGUGGAUAGCGGAGAAAUUCCAAUCGAACUCGGAGAUAGCUGGUUCUCCUCGAAAUAGCUUUAGGGCUAGCGUCAGGUAAUUAAGUAAUGGAGGUAGAGCACUGAAUGAGCUAGGGGGCUUCACCGCUUACCGAACUCUAUCAAACUCCGAAUGCCGUAUACUUGUAUCCUGGCAGUCAGACUGCGAAUGAUAAGAUCCGUAGUCAAAAGGGAAAGAGCCCAGACCAUCAGCUAAGGUCCCAAAGUGUAAGUUAAGUGGUAAAGGAUGUGGGAUUUCUAAGACAACUAGGAUGUUGGCUUAGAAGCAGCCAUUCAUUUAAAGAGUGCGUAAUAGCUCACUAGUCAAGAGAUCCUGCGCCGAAAAUGUCCGGGGCUAAAACUUACCACCGAAGCUAUGGAUGUACUAUGUACAUGGUAGAGGAGCUUUCUGCAUUGGUUGAAGUCGUACCGAAAGGAGCGGUGGACGAUGCAGAAGUGAGAAUGUUGGCAUGAGUAGCGAGAAAUAGGUGAGAAUCCUAUUGGCCGAAUAUCUAAGGUUUCCUGAGGAAGGCUCGUCCUCUCAGGGUUAGUCGGGACCUAAGCCCAGGCCGAAAGGCGUAGGCGAUGGACAAUCGGUUGAUAUUCCGAUACCGCCAAACUUCGUUUGACAAAUGGGGUGACGCAGAAGGAUAGGAUAUGCACACUGUUGGAGUGUGUGUUCAAGCACUUAGGCAGGCUAAGCAGGCAAAUCCGUUUAGUCAAUGCUGAGGUGUUACGAGGAGCGAUUUUUUUCGCGAAGUAUCUGAUUCCACGCUGCCAAGAAAAGCCUCUAUGGAGAAGUUUGGCGCCCGUACCGCAAACCGACACAGGUAGAUGAGGAGAGAAUCCUAAGGCCGGCGGAAGAAUUGUUGUUAAGGAACUCGGCAAAUUGACCCCGUAACUUCGGGAGAAGGGGUGCCUAGCGAAAGCUAGGCCGCAGUGAAUAGGCCCAGGCAACUGUUUAACAAAAACACAGGUCUCUGCUAAAGCGUAAGCUGAUGUAUAGGGGCUGACGCCUGCCCGGUGCUGGAAGGUUAAGGGGAUCUGUAAGCGUAAGCGAAGCAGUGAACUUAAGCCCCAGUAAACGGCGGCCGUAACAAUAACGGUCCUAAGGUAGCGAAAUUCCUUGUCGGGUAAGUUCCGACCUGC
rnacentral:rRNA from 1 species